AAGGAGCACCACGAGAAUCAGGCCCGCCCACAUCGUGUGGGGGUUCGGUGAUCUGAUCGAUUCGUGAAGAUGGCCUGGUCUCUGUAGUGGAGUCAGGUCUGGUGCAACAACAAACAUUAAGUGCUGCAACGGGAUUCCGGUUUUCCGGGGUUGUGGUGCGAAGUCAUCAGACACACUAUUGGGCUUUGAGACAACAGGCCUGUGCCCCUUUUUUUGGGGGUGGCUCCGCGUUGGCGGGGUCGGUGUGUUGUUGCCCUGCUUUGGUGGUGGGGUGUGGUGUUUGAUUUGUGGAUAGUGGUUGCGAGCAUCGAAAGAUGGUGCACAGGCUUUCGGGUGUGUGUGCUUCUUUUUAUGUAAUGCAAAUUUUUCUGAUACCCGCAUGCUCCCGGAAGGGUGUGUGUGGGUGACUCAUUUUUUGGUUUUGUGUUGUAAGUGUUUAAGGGCGCAUGGUG
rnacentral:misc_RNA from 1 species